rnacentral:rRNA from 1 species
GCAAGUCGAACGGAAACAUGUCUAGCUUGCUAGAUGAUGUCGAGUGGCGGACGGGUGAGUAAUACUUAGGAACAUGCCUUUGGGUGGGGGAUAACUAUUGGAAACGAUAGCUAAUACCGCAUAAUGUCUUUGGACCAAAGGGGGCUUCGGCUCCCGCCCAAAGAGUGGCCUAAGCGAGAUUAGCUUGUUGGUGAGGUAAAGGCUCACCAAGGCGACGAUCCCUAGCUGGUUUGAGAGGAUGAUC